AAUUUCUGUAGUUUUCACAGCAUUAUUACUGUAAAAUGAGCAAAUGCUUACUGUAGAACUUGUAUACAGCAUGUUGCUGUAGAUCUGCAAAGCAUCAUGGUCUUUUUUCAACGGCGGGUAAAUUCUACAGUAAAAAUAUUUUUCCUGUGAAUCACAAUACAGCAAUUUCUAAAGGAUUUUUUCUUCAGCCAAGGAAAGCUACGAGAUUCCACACUUUCAUCUGAAUUUUUACUUCAGAAAGGGUUGAUGACGUAUGCGAGUGCGACCUCCGCAGGCUGAAACCAGUCUCUCGAGCUGAAAGAAAACGCAGCUGAGGAGAUAUGAGGAAACUUCCACCUACAGUAAGCAGAUGCUGAGGCCUAGAUUUCCAUGCUAAGCACUCCAAGGCUCAUCAUGCUCGGAGAGUCCAAUCUGAGGGCAAAAAAUGGAUGCUUUCCAUCGAGGGCAGAGUUCUCCUCCAAUUGAGUGACGGUUGUGAUUUCACUUCUGCUCUAGCCUUUUUGCGUCAUACUAUGUAUGAGGCAGCCACUACAUUGGGAUUUAUCCAGAGGGUAGAGUCCAGCCCAGGAAGUCAACUAGUUCAUGUCCAGAUUUAAAAGAAUAAUAUUUCUGAAAAAAAAGGUCUUGGAGAAAAACAAUAUUCAGGUUUGAAAUCCUGCUGUAAAUGUAAAUCAUUUAACUUUUAUGCAUUUGUAAUUUACCAGAAACUUUUUAAUAAAUAUUGAUUGUUUUGUGUGUUCAGAAAAAAAGUGUUUUUGUAUGUUCAGAAAAGUGUUGAAAUUAAAUGAAACAUUCACAGAAAAAUGUUAACAUAUUUAAAAAAAUGUAUAUGUUCAGAAAGGUUUUGAGAUGUUCACAGAAAAAAUGUAACACAAAAAAUGUAUGCUAUGCUAUUUUUAAUUUAUGAAUUUUUGUAAUUUAAAGUGAUAAAAUAAAUGGCAUUUUUGUGACAAACAGUGUCUUCAUUUUACAGUACACAAAAUAAAUGCAGUAAUCCCUAUUACAGUAGUAGUUAUGAAAUACAGUACUGUGAUUAUUACUUUAAAAGAGUUUACAGUAAUUUUAAUUUUACUGCAAUUACAUUUACAGUAAGAAUACUGUGAAAUGAAAUACAGCAACUUACUAGCUAAUUGCUGCCAGCAAGUUACUGUAUUUUUCACAGGAUUCUUUUU